UACGUAGGGAGCAAGCGUUACUCGGAAUUACUGGGCGUAAAGCGCACGUAGGCGGAUAUUUAAGUCAGGGGUGAAAUCCCGCAGCUCAACUGCGGAACUGCCUUUGAUACUGGGUAUCUUGAGUUUGGAAGAGGUAAGCGGAAUUCCGAGUGUAGAGGUGAAAUUCGUAGAUAUUCGGAGGAACACCAGUGGCGAAGGCGGCUUACUGGUCCAUUACUGACGCUGAGGUGCGAAAGCGUGGGGAGCAAACAGG
rnacentral:rRNA from 1 species